GUGGGGAAUAUUGGACAAUGGGCGAAAGCCUGAUCCAGCCAUGCCGCGUGUGUGAAGAAGGUCUUCGGAUUGUAAAGCACUUUAAGUUGGGAGGAAGGGCAGUAAGUUAAUACCUUGCUGUUUUGACGUUACCGACAGAAUAAGCACCGGCUAACUUCGUGCCAGCAGCCGCGGUAAUACGAAGGGUGCAAGCGUUAAUCGGAAUUACUGGGCGUAAAGCGCGCGUAGGUGGUUCAGUAAGUUGGAAGUGAAAUCCCCGGGCUCAACCUGGGAACUGCUUUCAAAACUGCUGAGCUAGAGUACGGUAGAGGGUGGUGGAAUUUCCUGUGUAGCGGUGAAAUGCGUAGAUAUAGGAAGGAACACCAGUGGCGAAGGCGACCACCUGGACUGAUACUGACACUGAGGUGCGAAAGCGUGGGGAGCAAACAGGAUUAGAAACCCCUGUAGUCC
rnacentral:rRNA from 1 species